rfam:Pteropus alecto contig3494, whole genome shotgun sequence.
CUCAACCACCACUGUCACCCCUAUUCAAAAUUUCAUCUGUAUCUCGGAAGCUAAGCAGGGUUGUGCCUGGUUAGUACUUGGAUAGGAGACCACCUAGGAAGAUCAGGUGCUGUAGGUG